CUGAAUUGUAAUUUUCUUUUGUUAAAUCCAACUGUGUUUUGAUGUAAUGAGCUGUAAAUUUGAAUGACUAUAAACUAUCAUAUGCCUAUGUUCAUCCAGAAAAGUCAGUUCUAGAACUUCUUCUGGGAAGGAAGGUGAGAUUGAAGGUAAGGCAAAGCUGUUACAACUGUAUUGGAUUCAUAUUUUGUGAUUUUUCAUUUGAUAACUUGAUUUAUCGUAGGCUGUUCACCGGCUGGAUAGGUUACUCUUAUUUUUCUAGUAUGAUUGGUUGCAUUGACUUUUUCUCAUUCAUUAAUUUGCUACAAAUAAUUGAAUGGAUACCAAAGAAUCAAUUUGAAAGCUCUUUAGUGAUGUGGUAUUUCGUGUUUCUUCAAAUGACACAAUUUGGGUAGCCAUCCCACACAAAUCUUGAUUUAUGUUCUAUGUUAUCAUUAUUUUUCUUGAAUAGGUUUGUUUAUUAUAUAUUAUUAUUUAAAUAAUCUACCCAGUCCAGUCGUAGUAGAAUAAUUCUAGCAAACUUUGCUAAUAAGGGCAGUUUGCUUGGACCAGAUAUUAAGCUUGCUGAUGCCAUGAUUAGAACUUGUGUUUUGGAUAACGGUGGUGUUGUUGGGCUUCAAAGACAAAUUAUUAGAGAUAACAUAUUGUAUUAUGUUUUAAUUAUUAUUUACAACCCUUUUAAUUAAUGUUUUUUAGCUAAUUUGUGAGAAUGAUGUCGAUUUUGUAUAAAAGUAUUGGAAAAUUAUUAACCUGGUUUGAGGUUAGCCCAAAAAGUAGUGAAUCCCUUUGCAAACGCUAUGCUUCAGAAUCUUCACUAAUUAGAAAGAAAAAAAAAAAAAAAAAAAAAAAAAAAAAAAAAAAAAAAAAAAAAACCCUAAAAAAGAGUAAA